rnacentral:rRNA from 1 species
UCAGAAUCAACGCUGGCGGGCGUGCCUCAGACAUGCAAGUCGAACGAGAAAGUCCCCUUCGGGGGAUAAGUAAGGCGGCGCACGGGCGAGUAACACGUAGGUAAUCUACCUUCGGGUGGGGAAUAACCCAGGGAAACUUGGGCUAACACCGCAUAAUGCAGCGGCACCACAUGGUGACAGUUGUUAAAGCGGGGGAUUUUAGGACCUCGCGCCUGAAGAGGAGCCUGCGGCGGAUUAGCUAGUUGGUAAGGUAACGGCUUACCAAGGCGACGAUCCGUAGCCGGCCUGAGAGGGCGGUCGGCCACACUGACACUGACAUACGGGUCAGACUCCUACGGGAGGCAGCAGUCGGGAAUUUUGGGCAAUGGGCGAAAGCCUGACCCAGCAACGCCGCGUGAAGGAUGAAAUCCCUNNGGAUGUAAACUUCGCAAGAAUGGGAAGAAUUAGUAGGGGCUAAUACCCCCUAUGAUGA